UGGGGAAUAUUGCACAAUGGGCGCAAGCCUGAUGCAGCCAUGCCGCGUGUAUGAAGAAGGCCUUCGGGUUGUAAAGUACUUUCAGCGCGGAGGAAGGCGGUAAGGUUAAUAACCUUAUCGAUUGACGUUACUCGCAGAAGAAGCACCGGCUAACUCCGUGCCAGCAGCCGCGGUAAUACGGAGGGUGCAAGCGUUAAUCGGAAUUACUGGGCGUAAAGCGCACGCAGGCGGUCUGUCAAGUCGGAUGUGAAAUCCCCGGGCUCAACCUGGGAACUGCAUUCGAAACUGGCAGGCUAGAGUCUUGUAGAGGGGGGUAGAAUUCCAGGUGUAGCGGUGAAAUGCGUAGAGAUCUGGAGGAAUACCGGUGGCGAAGGCGGCCCCCUGGACAAAGACUGACGCUCAGGUGCGAAAGCGUGGGGAGCAAACA
rnacentral:rRNA from 1 species